rnacentral:rRNA from 1 species
AGAGUUUGAUCCUGGCUCAGAUUGAACGCUGGCGGCAGGCCUAACACAUGCAAGUCGAGCGGAUGAGUGGAGCUUGCUCCAUGAUUCAGCGGCGGACGGGUGAGUAAUGCCUAGGAAUCUGCCUGGUAGUGGGGGACAACGUUUCGAAAGGAACGCUAAUACCGCAUACGUCCUACGGGAGAAAGCAGGGGACCUUCGGGCCUUGCGCUAUCAGAUGAGCCUAGGUCGGAUUAGCUAGUUGGUGAGGUAAAGGCUCACCAAGGCGACGAUCCGUAACUGGUCUGAGAGGAUGAUCAGUCACACUGGAACUGAGACACGGUCCAGACUCCUACGGGAGGCAGCAGUGGGGAAUAUUGGACAAUGGGCGAAAGCCUGAUCCAGCCAUGCCGCGUGUGUGAAGAAGGUCUUCGGAUUGUAAAGCACUUUAAGUUGGGAGGAAGGGCAGUAAGUUAAUACCUUGCUGUUUUGACGUUACCGGCAGAAUAAGCACCGGCUAACUUCGUGCCAGCAGCCGCGGUAAUACGAAGGGUGCAAGCGUUAAUCGGAAUUACUGGGCGUAAAGCGCGCGUAGGUGGUUCGUUAAGUUGGAUGUGAAAGCCCCGGGCUCAACCUGGGAACUGCAUCCAAAACUGGCGAGCUAGAGUAUGGCAGAGGGUGGUGGAAUUUCCUGUGUAGCGGUGAAAUGCGUAGAUAUAGGAAGGAACACCAGUGGCGAAGGCGACCACCUGGGCUAAUACUGACACUGAGGUGCGAAAGCGUGGGGAGCAAACAGGAUUAGAUAC